ACAGAGAUAGCUUGCUAUCUGCUGACGAGCGGCGGACGGGUGAGUAAUGCUUGGGAAUAUGCCUUAUGGUGGGGGACAACAGUUGGAAACGACUGCUAAUACCGCAUAACGUCUACGGACCAAAGGGGGGGAUGCUUCGGCACCUCCCGCCAUUUGAUUAGCCCAAGUGAGAUUAGCUAGUAGGUGAGGUAAGAGCUCACCUAGGCGACGAUCUCUAGCUGGUUUGAGAGGAUGAUCAGCCACACUGGGACUGAGACACGGCCCAGACUCCUACGGGAGGCAGCAGUGGGGAAUAUUGCACAAUGGGCGAAAGCCUGAUGCAGCCAUGCCGCGUGUGUGAAGAAGGCCUUCGGGUUGUAAAGCACUUUCAGCGAGGAGGAAAGGUUAGUGGUUAAUAACCACUAGCUGUGACGUUACUCGCAGAAGAAGCACCGGCUAACUUCGUGCCAGCAGCCGCGGUAAUACGAGGGGUGCAAGCGUUAAUCGGAAUUACUGGGCGUAAAGCGUGCGUAGGUGGUUUGUUAAGCAAGAUGUGAAAGCCCUGGGCUCAACCUGGGAACUGCAUUUUGAACUGGCAAGCUAGAGUUUUGUAGAGGGUAGUG
rnacentral:rRNA from 1 species